rnacentral:rRNA from 1 species
GAUGAACGCUAGCUACAGGCUUAACACAUGCAAGUCGCGGGGCAGCAUGGGGGUUGCUUGCAAUCCCCGAUGGCGACCGGCGCACGGGUGAGUAACGCGUAUCCAACCUGCCCUUCACCACGGGAUAACCCGGCGAAAGUCGGACUAAUACCGUAUGUUGUCCAUUGACGGCAUCCGAUUUGGACGAAAGGUUUGGCGGUGAAGGAUGGGGAUGCGUGCGAUUAGCUGGACGGCGGGGUGACGGCCCACCGUGGCGACGAUCGGUAGGGGUUCUGAGAGGAAGGUCCCCCACACUGGAACUGGGACACGGUCCAGACUCCUACGGGAGGCAGCAGUGAGGAAUAUUGGUCAAUGGGCGUAAGCCUGAACCAGCCAAGUAGCGUGCAGGAUGACGGCCCUAUGGGUUGUAAACUGCUUUUAUGCGGGGAUAAAGUGGCCCACGUGUGGGUUUUUGCAGGUACCGCAUGAAUAAGGACCGGCUAAUUCCGUG